GAUGGGGAUUUCCAGAUCCACCCCGCCACACAAUAUACGCAGAAUCAGAGAGACGAGGACCCGGAAAAGGGUGGAGCUUUCCCCGCAACGAGGAAGAGUCUGCAAGAACAAACGUCUAAAGACUGCAGAUACAAGUAGAGCGUGAGGGACCUGCUGCUCUAGAUCUUCAUUUAUUCAUCCAGAGAUCAAUUCUUCAGUGGUGGGAAAAUCCCCAUGGGAACAUCAUAGACGCUGUGAACUUGGAUUUAUGUUUCUCUCUGUUGCCACGUUUGACCUCACACUCUGGCCCAACGAUUAACUGGGACAGACUCACUGUCCCUCUAACGCGCCGUCUGUAUUCAUUUAAAACGACAUACAUGUCCUUGCAGAACUAACAGCUCCCGGUGUAUCACCUCUCUGCAGGAGUCUGAGCAGAUAAAACGGAGCAAAACCUG